ensembl:lncRNA
AGAUCACCCAGCAGCUGGGGCUAGAGGUGGCUGUGGCCACCAUGUCCCUGAGACUGCUCACAUACCAGCGGGCCCAUGAACACUUCCAGACCUACGGUGCCCCCUCCACGGUGCCGCCCUGAGUGGGGAGCACCAGGGUUGUGCCCUGGAGCCCAUCCCCCGCAGAUGCUGGGCAUGCAUUGGCUCAGUCCACUUUGCUUCCUGGCUGGCCCAGCCUAAUAAAGUGUUGCCAUCUCACCAGUCCCUUAAAAAAAAAAAAUAAAUACGAUGAAGUGGGGAGUCCAGAAGGGAGCCUGCUCAAGCCGUUACACUCAAGGUCAAUUGCUGACCCAGUAAGAAAAGGUGCCUUUGUGUCUUCAACAGGAAACAGGCUAUUACUUCACAACCCAGCUGGGGGAUGAAUUUCUCCUCCCCAGGCAACAACCUAGUCAAUGAGAGACUGAAAAUCAGCCGAGGAACUCAAGCUCGGAACAAGGAGCGAUCAGAAGACAGGAUCAGAGAGGCCCUUGAGCAGUGCCUAGCACUUGAUUUCCAGGCCGGCAUUCUUUCUACCAGCUGUAGUUUUUGAAAAGGGGUUAGUCUCUCAUCUCGAGAGGUCCCUGAAUCAGACAGAAAGAAACUAUCACUUCCCGGGAACCCAUUGAUUUACAGUGAACCUCGUGUGGGGACUUCACAGUGGCUGAAAAGGCAAGGAGAAGAUGGAGACCCGCUCACAACACAAGGCAAAAAAGUCUGGAGCGACAGCUGCCACCUAAGGAAUCCCGAGAAGUUGCUGAUUGCUCCCGGCUUCAGUUCUUUCUGCGCUUCAGUCCCGGUGCCGCCUCCUCUGAAGCCUGGUGGGUUCUGCCCGAGGCCAGUGCCAGGGCCCCAGCGUUGAAAGAGCCCGAAGCAGGAAGGCGGAGGAGUCGCGCCGCCCAGCGGAGAACCCGCCAAAGCACAGACUCUUAGUCACCAUCAUGAAUAUUGGUCAUCACUCCUUGGCACAUUGGACUGUACAGGUGGCUCCACCGAGAUGGCCUUCCAACCACUGUCUGCGAUGGGGCAAUUCUGUGCUGCGCUUGUGAAAGGAGGAAAAAUGGCUUCAAUUAGAGAACACGAGGAACGAGCACAUCAUUAACUGAAGGA